CCUACGGGAGGCAGCAGUGGGGAAUAUUGCGCAAUGGGCGAAAGCCUGACGCAGCGACGCCGCGUGAGGGAUGAAGGUCUUCGGGUUGUAAAGAUCUGUUGACAGGGACGAAUAAGCAAUGCGAAUAGUUUUGUGUAUGAUGGUACCUGUUUAGAAAGCUCCGGCUAACUACGUGCCAGCAGCCGCGGUAAUACGGAGGGAGCAAGCGUUGUCCGGAAUUACUGGGCGUAAAGGGCGCGUAGGUGGGCGCUUAAGUCAGGUGUGAAAACUCCGGGCUCAACCUGGAGACUGCACUUGAAACUGGGUGUCUUGAGUGCAGGAGAGGAAAGUGGAAUGCGUGGUGUAGCGGUGAAAUGCGUAGAUAUUAGGAGGAACACCAGUGGCGAAGGCGACUUUCUGGACUGUACCUGACGCUGAGGCGCGAAAGCGUGGGUAGCGAACGGGAUUAGAUACCCGAGUAGUC
rnacentral:rRNA from 1 species